CAAUCGUUCUUUCUGUGGUAUAAUGGUGAUGUCACUUGUUUGUCGUGCCCAAUAAUCUACAUGCGGGAUCGAUUGAAAUUGAUGAUUGUAACUACGAUGGUACUCUACUAGUGUGUAACAUUGAUCAAUAUAUCAUCAAAAAUCAAUUGACACAUGUGCACACACAGCCAUCACAUGAGAACACGACAAAUGAUAACACUGUCAUUUCUGACAUGUUUACGUACGCUUAGAUAG
rnacentral:lncRNA from 1 species